CAGCAGCCACGGUAAAACGGAGGGGGCUAGCGUUGUUCGGAAUUACUGGGCGUAAAGCGCACGUAGGCGGCUUGGUAAGUUAGAGGUGAAAGCCUGGAGCUCAACUCCAGAAUUGCCUUUAAGACUGCCGAGCUAGCAGGUGAGAGAGGUAAGUGGAAUUCCGAGUGUAGAGGUGAAAUUCGUAGAUAUUCGGAAGAACACCAGUGGCGAAGGCGGCUUACUGGCUCAUACUGGACGCUGAGGUGCGAAAGCGUGGGGAGCAAACAGGAUUAGAUACCCCGGUAGUCCCUGUCUCUUAUAC
rnacentral:rRNA from 1 species